rnacentral:lncRNA from 1 species
UUGUAUAAUAGAAGAGGCUCCUCUUCGUAUUAUGCAUUCUGAGGUCUUCUAAGGAGGACUCCUCUUUUUAUAGAGGUCUUCGAGCUUUGGAUACCUUCAUCAGGGCUUUGGAUUCUUCUUGUUAGUGGAGUAGAAAUGAUUCCACUUUUCUUUGAAAUUUUUCAAUAAUGCUUCACGCCUUUGGAGAAAGAUGUCGGCCAUAUCUUUGAAAGAAUCUUUUGCUUUUUCUUUUUGACUUUUUCUUUUUGUCUUUUGUCUUUUUCUUUUCUUUUCUUUUUCUUUUUCUUUUUCUUUUUCUUUUUAGACCCGGGCUUUUGGCCCAACACAAGGAACCUUGGGCUGCCAUUUUUGGUUUUCAACCCAUGGACUUUUUACGGAGAUCAUUUUAUGGGCUUGAAAAUCCCAAAACAAUCAUCCUCGUUGGAAUCACC